rnacentral:sRNA from 1 species
UAUCUGGUUGAUUCCAGAUUGCCCACCAU